rnacentral:rRNA from 1 species
CAGUAGCCACGGGAAUACGUAGGUGGCAAGCGUUGUCCGGAAUUAUUGGGCGUAAAGUGCGCGCAGGCGGAUCAGUCAGUCUGUCUUAAAAGUUCGGGGCUUAACCCCGUGAGGGGAUGGAAACUGCUGAUCUAGAGUAUCGGAGAGGAAAGUGGAAUUCCUAGUGUAGCGGUGAAAUGCGUAGAUAUUAGGAAGAACACCAGUGGCGAAGGCGACUUUCUGGACGAAAACUGACGCUGAGGCGCGAAAGCCAGGGGAGCGAACGGGAUUGGAUACCCCCGUAGUCCCUGUCUCUUAUACA